ACGGCAGCACGGGAGCUUGCUCCUGGUGGUGAGUGGCGGACGGGUGAGUAAUGCAUAGGAAUCUGCCUAGUAGUGGGGGACAACCUGGGGAAACUCAGGCUAAUACCGCAUAAGCCCUACGGGGGAAAGUGGGGGAUCUUCGGACCUCACGCUAUUAUAUGAGCCUAUGUCUGAUUAGCUUGUUGGUGGGGUAAAAGCCUACCAAGGCGACGAUCAGUAGCUGGUCUGAGAGGACGAUCAGCCACACUGGGACUGAGACACGGCCCAGACUCCUACGGGAGGCAGCAGUGGGGAAUAUUGGACAAUGGGGGCAACCCUGAUCCAGCAAUGCCGCGUGUGUGAAGAAGGCCUGCGGGUUGUAAAGCACUUUCAAUUGUGAAGAAAAGCUGAAGGUUAAUACCCUUCAGUCUUGACGUUAGCUUUAGAAGAAGCACCGGCUAACUCCGUGCCAGCAGCCGCGGUAAUACGGAGGGUGCAANCGUUGGUCGGAAUUACUGGGCGUAAAGCGCGCGUAGGCGGUUUUGUAAGUCGGAUGUGAAAGCCCCGGGCUCAACCUGGGAAUUGCAUUCGAUACUGCUUGACUAGAGUAUGGUAGAGGGAAGUGGAAUUCCAGGUGUANCGGUGAAAUGCGUAGAUAUCUGGAGGAACAUCA
rnacentral:rRNA from 1 species